rnacentral:rRNA from 1 species
GGUGUAGUGCGAUGUGGGGACGGAGAAGGUUAGCUCAGCCAACUGUUGGAUAUGUUGGUUCAAGCCUGUAGUCGUGCCCGGUAGGCAAAUCCGCCGGGCUUAGAUGAGGGGUGAUAACGAGGCUGCUUGCAGCCGAAGUGAGUGAUACCCUGCUUCCAGGAAAAGCCACUAAGCUUCAGCUACACACGACCGUACCGCAAACCGACACUGGUGCGCGAGACGAGUAUUCUAAGGCGCUUGAGAGAACUCAGGAGAAGGAACUCGGCAAAUUGAUACCGUAACUUCGGGAGAAGGUAUGCCCCAAGUAGGUGAACCUGUACAAGGCGAGCCCAAAGGGGUUGCAAAAAAUCGGUGGCUGCGACUGUUUAAUAAAAGCACAGCACUCUGCAAACACGAAAGUGGACGUAUAGGGUGUGACGCCUGCCCGGUGCUGGAAGAUUAAAUGAUGGGGUGCAAGCUCUUGACUGAAGUCCCAGUAAACGGCGGCCGUAACGAUAACGGUCCUAAGGUAGCGAAAUUCCUUGUCGGGUAAGUUCCGACCUGCACGAAUGGCGUAACGAUGGCCACACUGUCUCCUCCUGAGACUCAGCGAAGUUGAAAUGUUUGUGAUGAUGCAAUCUCCCCGCGGAAAGACGGAAAGACCCUAUGAACCUUUACUGUAGCUUUGUAUUGGACUUUGAACAGAUCUGUGUAGGAUAGGUGGGAGGCUUUGAAGUGAGGUCGCUAGAUCUCAUGGAGCCAACGUUGAAAUACCACCCUGGUGUGUUUGAGGUUCUAACCUAGGUCCAUUAUCUGGAUCGGGGACAGUGCAUGGUAGGCAGUUUGACUGGGGCGGUCUCCUCCCAAAGCGUAACGGAGGAGUUCGAAGGUACGCUAGUUACGGUCGGACAUCGUGACGAUAGUGCAAUGGCAUAAGCGUGCUUAACUGCGAGACUGACAAGUCGAGCAGAUGCGAAAGCAGGACAUAGUGAUCCGGUGGUUCUGUAUGGAAGGGCCAUCGCUCAACGGAUAAAAGGUACUCUGGGGAUAACAGGCUGAUACCGCCCAAGAGUUCAUAUCGACGGCGGUGUUUGGCACCUCGAUGUCGGCUCAUCUCAUCCUGGGGCUGUAGCCGGUCCCAAGGGUAUGGCUGUUCGCCAUUUAAAGAGGUACGUGAGCUGGGUUUAAAACGUCGUGAGACAGUUUGGUCCCUAUCUUCCGUGGGCGCUGCAGAUUUGAGGAAGCCUGCUCCUAGUACGAAAAG